UACAGAGGGUGCAAGCGUUAAUCGGAAUUACUGGGCGUAAAGGGCGCGUAGGCGGGACUUCAAGCUGGAUGUGAAAUCCCCGGGCUUAACCUGGGAACUGCGUUUGAAACUGAAAGGCUAGAGUGUGGCAGAGGGGGGUGGAAUUCCACGUGUAGCAGUGAAAUGCGUAGAGAUGUGGAGGAACACCGAUGGCGAAGGCAGCCCCCUGGGCUAACACUGACGCUCAUGCACGAAAGCGUGGGGAGCAAACAGG
rnacentral:rRNA from 1 species